rnacentral:rRNA from 1 species
UACGUAGGGUGCAAGCGUUGUCCGGAUUUACUGGGCGUAAAGGGCGCGUAGGCGGCGUGUUAAGUCAGCUGUGAAAUCUCCAAGCUUAACUUGGAACGGUCAGCUGAUACUGAUGUGCUAGAGUGCAGAAGGGGCAACCGGAAUUCUUGGUGUAGCGGUGAAAUGCGUAGAUAUCAAGAGGAACACCUGAGGUGAAGACGGGUUGCUGGGCUGACACUGACGCUGAGGCGCGAAAGCUAGGGUAGCAAACGGG